CGCGUGGGUAACCUGCCCUAUACACAUGGAUAACAUACUGAAAAGUUUACUAAUACAUGAUAAUAUAUAUUUGCGGCAUCGUAGAUAUAUCAAAGUGUUAGCGGUAUAGGAUGGACCCGCGUCUGAUUAGCUAGUUGGUGAGAUAACUGCCCACCAAGGCGACGAUCAGUAGCCGACCUGAGAGGGUGAUCGGCCACAUUGGAACUGAGACACGGUCCAAACUCCUACGGGAGGCAGCAGCG
rnacentral:rRNA from 1 species